rnacentral:rRNA from 1 species
CGGAAGCGAGAAUGUUGACAUGAGUAGCGACAAACAGGGUGAGAGACCCUGUCGCCGAAAGUCCAAGGGUUCCUGCUUAAAGCUAAUCUGAGCAGGGUAAGCCGGCCCCUAAGGCGAGGCCGAAAGGCGUAGUCGAUGGGAACCAGGUUAAUAUUCCUGGGCCAGGAUGAUGUGACGGAUCUCGACGGUAGUUUGCCCUUAUCGGAUUGGGUGAGCUGCUUAGAGGUUCCUGGAAAUAGCCCUCCACAAGACCGUACCCCAAACCGACACAGGUGGACUGGUAGAGAAUACCAAGGCGCUUGAGAGAACCACAUCAAAGGAACUCGGCAAAAUGCUCCCGUAAGUUCGCGAGAAGGGAGCCCCGUCUGUAGGCAACUAUGGGCGGGGGGCACAAACCAGGGGGUGGCGACUGUUUACUUAAAACGCAGGGCUGUGCGAAGCCGUAAGGCGACGUAUACAGUCUGACGCCUGCCCGGUGCUGGAAGGUUAAAAGGAGGGGUGCAAGCUCUGAAUUGAAGCCCCAGUAAACGGCGGCCGUAACGAUAACGGUCCUAAGGUAGCGAAAUUCCUUGUCGGGUAAGUUCCGACCUGCACGAAUGGCGUAACGAUCUCCCCGCUGUCUCUGAUGUGGACUCAGCGAAAUUGAACUGUGUGUCAAGAUGCACACUUCCCGCGGUUAGACGGAAAGACCCCAUGAACCUUUACUCCAGCUUUGCACUGGCAUCAGGGUUGUGAUGUGCAGGAUAGGUGGUAGGCAUCGAAGCAGAGACGCCAGUUUCUGUGGAGCCUCCCUUGAGAUACCACCCUUCGCACUCUUGAUGUCUAACCGCGGCCCGUUAUCCGGGUCCGGGACCAUGCAUGGUGGGGAGUUUGACUGGGGCGGUCGCCUCCCAAACAGUAACGGAGGCGCGCGAAGGUUGGCUCAGAGCGGUCGGAAAUCGCUCGUUGAGUGCAAUGGCAGAAGCCAGCCUGACUGCAAGACUGACAAGUCGAGCAGAGACGAAAGUCGGCCAUAGUGAUCCGGUGGUCCCAAGUGGGAGGGCCAUCGCUCAACGGAUAAAAGGUACUCUGGGGAUAACAGGCUGAUGAUGCCCAAGAGUCCAUAUCGACGGCAUCGUUUGGCACCUCGAUGUCGGCUCAUCUCAUCCUGGGGCUGGAGCAGGUCCCAAGGGUAUGGCUGUUCGCCAUUUAAAGAGGUACGUGAGCUAGGUUUAGAACGUCGUGAGACAGUUCGGUCCCCAUCUGCCGUGGGUGUAGGAGACUUGAGAAGAGUUGCCCCUAGUACGAGAGGACCGGGGUGAACGUUCCACUGGUGGACCAGUUGUCGUGCCAACGGCAGUGCUGGGUAGCUAUGAACGGACAGGAUAACCGCUGAAGGCAUCUAAGCGGGAAGCCCCCUUCAAAACAAGGUCUCCCUUGAGAGCCGUGGAAGACCACCACGUCGAUAGGCCAGAGGUGUAAGUGCAGCAAUGCAUUCAGCUGACUGGUACUAAUUGCU